rnacentral:rRNA from 1 species
UACAGAGGGUGCAAGCGUUGUUCGGAAUUAUUGGGCGUAAAGGGUGCGUAGGCGGUGCGGUAAGUCUGUAGUGAAAUCUCUGGGCUCAACUCAGAGUCUGCUAUAGAAACUGCCGUGCUUGAGUGUGGGAGAGGUGCGUGGAAUUCCUGGUGUAGCAGUGAAAUGCGUAGAUAUCAGGAGGAACACCUGUGGCGAAAGCGGCGCACUAGACCACAACUGACGCUGAGGCGCGAAAGCUAGGGGAGCAAACAGG